GAUGAACGCUGGCGGCGUGCCUAAUACAUGCAAGUCGAGCGAACGGACGAGAAGCUUGCUUUUCUGAUGUUAGCGGCUGACGGGUGAGUAACACGUGGAUAACCUACCUAUAAGACUGGGAUAACUUCGGGAAACCGGAGCUAAUACCGGAUAAUAUUUUGAACCGCAUGGUUCAAAAGUGAAAGACGGUCUUGCUGUCACUUAUAGAUGGAUCCGCGCUGCAUUAGCUAGUUGGUAAGGUAACGGCUUACCAAGGCAACGAUGCAUACCCGACCUGAGAGAGUGAUCGGCCAGACUGGAACUGAGACACGGUGCAGACUCCUAAGGGAGGCAGCAGUAGGGAAUCUUCCGCAAUGGGCGAAAGCCUGACGGAGCAACGCCGCGUGAGGGAUGAAGGUCUUCGGAUCGUAAAACUCUGUUAUUAGGGAAGAACAUAUGUGUAAGUAACUGUGCACAUCUUGACGGUACCUAAUCAGAAAGCCACGGCUAACUACGUG
rnacentral:rRNA from 1 species